AACGAACGCUGGCGGCAUGCCUAACACAUGCAAGUCGAACGAGACCUUCGGGUCUAGUGGCGCACGGGUGCGUAACGCGUGGGAAUCUGCCCCUUGGUUCGGAAUAACAGCGAGAAAUUGCUGCUAAUACCGGAUAAUGACGUAAGUCCAAAGAUUUAUCGCCAAGGGAUGAGCCCGCGUAGGAUUAGCUAGUUGGUGUGGUAAAGGCGCACCAAGGCGACGAUCCUUAGCUGGUCUGAGAGGAUGAUCAGCCACACUGGGACUGAGACACGGCCCAGACUCCUACGGGAGGCAGCAGUGGGGAAUAUUGGACAAUGGGCGGAAAGACCUCGAUCCAGCAAUGCCGCGUGAGUGAUGAAGGCCUUAGGGUUGUAAAGACUCUUUUACCCGGGACUGAUAAUAGACAGUACCGGGA
rnacentral:rRNA from 1 species